GGGCGCUGGAGGGACUCUCUGUCUCUCCCAGUGGUCCAUCGUCUGGACGACGUGGUCCAUGGCGGCGACGAGACAGUGAAUAAUUGCCGUGUGCUCCUGGACGCGCUCCUCGACUCCGCUAACAUAGGUACCUGCUACUGCUGACUCCAUACUUGGUUGUGGAAUUCUGUAGCGUGUGCAUAACUGGCUGCAAGGAAGUCAGGCGCAGGAGAGCAGAAUUGGGUAGCAAACGGAGCAGUUUAUUUCGGUGAACAAAACACACGGCACUUAGAACACUAAACAACUAAGGGUAGACAUACCCCGGCGCAAACCAGUCAGACGUGCACAUACACGAAACAACAAACAAUUCCACACACAGACAUGGGGGGAACAGAGGGUUAUAUACACGACAAGUAAUGAGGGAAAGGUGUGUGGGAAAACAAGACAAAACAAAUGCAAAAUGAAAGGUGGAUCGGCGAUGGCUAGAAGACCGGUGACGUCGACCGCCAAACGCCGCCCGAACAAGGAGAGGAACCGACUUCAGCGGAAGUCGUGACAGAUGCCUGUAUCUUUGUAGUGACUGGGUGUAUUGAUACACCAAAGUGUACUUACACUGAACACAAAUAUAUAAAAUAAGCACAAAAAGGAUAUUUCUCUCACAUUUUGUGCACAACUUUGUUUACAUCCCUGUUAGUUAGCAUUUCUCAUUUGCCAAGAUAAUCCAUCUACCUGACAGAAUGAUUACACAGAUUAAACAGAAUAAUCAUUACACAGGUGCACCUUGUGCUAGAGACAAUUAAUGGCCACUCUGAAGUUCAGUUUUGGCACACAACACAAUGCCACAGAUGUCUCAAGUUUUGAGGGAGCGUGCAAUUGGCAUGCUAACUGCAGGAAUGUCCACCAGAACUGUUGCCAGACAAUUUAAUGCUCAUUUCUCUACCAUAAGCGUUGUUUUAGAGAAUUUGGCAGUACAUCCAACCGGCCUCACAACCGCAGACAACGUGUAUGGCGUUGUGUGGGCAGCUUAACUAGGUCUUUCCUUGCAGCACUCGACCACACCACUGGACAAUAAUCAAGAUAAGACAAAACUAGAGCCUUCAGGACUUGCUUUUUGGAUCUGUUGGGUCAAAAAAGCAGAGCAUCUUUUUAUUACGGAGAGACCUCUCCCCAUCUUUACAACCAUUGAAUCUAUAUGUUCUCGACCAUGACAGUUUACAAUCUAAGGUAACACCAAGUAAUUUAGUCUCCUCAACUUGUUCAACAGCCACACCAUUAAUUACCAGAUUCAGCUGAGGUCUAGAACUUAGGGAAUGAGUGUUACCAAAUAGAAUGCUCUCAUUUUUAGAGAUGUUCAGGACCAGUUUAUAACUGGCCACCCAUUCCAAAACAGACUGCAACUCUUUGUUAAUGGUUUCAGUAACCUCAUUGGCUGUGGUUGCUGAUGCGUAUAUGGUUGAAUCAUCAGCAUACAUGGACACACAUGCUUUGUUUAAUACCAGUGGCAGGUCAUUGGUAGAAAUAGAAAAGAAUAAAGGACCUAGAGAGCUGCCCUGCGGUACACAAUGCUUUACAUUUGACAUUAGAAAAUCUUCCAUUAAAGAAAACCCUCUGCGUUCUAUUAGAUAGAUAGCUCUGAAUCAACGAUUUGGCAGAGGUUGAAAAGCCAUAACACAUACAGUACGUUUUAUCAACAACAAGUUAUGGUCAAUAAUGUCAAACAGCUGCACUGAAAUGUAAUAGUACAGCUCCCACAAUCUUCUUAUUAUCAAUUUCUUUCAACCAAUCAUCAGACAUUCGUGUCAAUGCAGUAGAUGUUGAGUGCCCUUCUCUAUAAGCAUGCUGAAAAUAUGUUGUUAAUUUGUUUACAGAGAAAUAACAUUGUAUUUGGUCAAACACCAUUUUUUCCAACAGUUUGCUAAGAGCUGGCAGCAAACUGAUCGGUCUGCUGUUAGAACCAGUAAACGCUGCAUUACCACUCUUGGGUAGCGGAAUGACUUUGACUUCCCUUCAGGCCUGAGGACAAAGACUUUUCUCUAGGAUCAGAUUAAAGAUAUGACAGAUAGGAGUGGCUAUAGAGUUAGCUACCAUCCUUAGUAGCUUUCCAUCUAAGUUGUCAAUGCCAGGAGGUUUGUCAUUAUUGAUUGAUAACAAUAUUUUUUCCACCUCUCCCACACAAACUUUACAAAAUUCAAACUUGCAAUACUUUUCUUUUUUAUGCAUGAGUACAAUGGCUCACUGUUUGUUGUUGGCAUUUCCUGCGUAAGUUUGCCCACUUUGCCAAUGAAGUAAUCAUUAAAAUAAUUGGCAACAUCAAAUGAUUUUGUGAUUACUACGGCAUCUGAUUUGAUGAAAGAUGGAGUUGAAUUUAAUUUCUGCCCAUAACUUAAUUUAAAGUAUUCCAACGUUUUUUUUCUCCAUCAUUCUUUAUAUCAUUGAUCUCGGCUUCAUACUACUGUUUCUUCUUCUUUUUGUUGAGUUUAGUCACAUCAGUUCUCAAUUUGCAGUAGGUCAGCCAGUCAGAUGAGCAGACAGAUUUAUUGCCACUCCUUUUGCCCCAUCUCUUUCAACCAUACAGUUUUUCAAUUCCUCAUCAAUCCAUGGAGCCUUAACAGUUCUAACAGUCAGUUUCUUAACAGGUGCAUGUUUAUCAAUAAUUGGAAGAAGCAAUUUCAUAAAUUCAUCAAGUUCAGCGCCUGGAUGCUCCUUAUUAAUCACAUCAGUUCCAACAAAUAUUUUUAACAUAAUCCACAUAAGAGUCACAGCAAAAUAUUUUGUAUGAUCUCUUAUACACUAUUUUAGGCCCAGUUUUCGAAAAUUAGGCUUUUCUGGAUAUAGCCACCAUAUUGAGAUCACUGCAUCCAGUGGGUACGGUUACAGCUUUAGAACAAAGUUCUACAGUAUUAGUAAAAAUGUGAUCAAUACAUGUGGAUGAUCUUGUUCCUGUAGUGUUUGUAAACACCUUGGUAGGUUGAUUAAUAAUUUGAACCAGAUUACAGGCACUGGUUACAGUGAGAUGCUUCCUCUUGAGUGGACAGCCUGAUGAAAACCAGUCAAUAUUCAGAUACCCAAUAACUUCAUCAUGCUCAAAGGGAUAUUCAAUGUCUGUUUGUUUUUUGGUUUUUUACUCAUCUACCAAUAUCUGCCCUUCUUUGCGAGGCAUUGGAAAAUCUCCCUGAUCUUUGUGGUUGAAUCUGUGUUUGAAAUUCACUGCUCGACUGAGGGACCUUACAAAUAAUCGUAUGUGUGGGGAACAGAGAUGAGGUAGUCAUUCAAAAAUCAUGUUAAACACUAUUAUUAUACACAGAGUGAGUCCAUGCCCCUUAUUAUGUGACUUGUUAAGCACAUUUUUACUGCUGAAUUUAUUUAGGCUUGCCAUAACAAAGGGGUUGAAUACUUAUUGACUCAAGACAUUUCAGCUUUUCAUUUUUAAUGAAUUUGUAAAAAUGUAUAAGAAACAAUUCCACUUUGACGUUGUGGGGUAUUGUGUGUAGACCAGUAACACACAAUCUCUAUUUAAUCAAUUUUAAAUUCACACUGUAACAUAACAAAAUGUGGAAAAAGUCAAGGGCUGUGAAUACUUUCUGAAGGCACUGUAGAAACAUAUUUUGGAAAGGGUUCUACAUGGAACUCAAAAAGGUUCUACCUGGAACCAAAAAUGGUUAUCCUAUGGGGACAGCCGAAAAACCCUUUCAGGUUCUAGAUAGCACCUUUUAUUCUAAGACUGUACUCUCCUUCAUCAACCUGCUAGACUAGUCUGGGCUUGUCCCUUAUGAUUUCAUUGUGAAAUAAAACAAAUUAUUUAACCUUUAUUUAACUAGGCAAGCCAGUUAAGAACAAAUUCUUAUUUACAAUGACUGCCUACACAGGCCAAACCCAGACGACCAUGGGCCAAUUGUGUGCCACCCUAUGGGACUCCCAAUCACAGCCGGUUGUGAUACAACCUGGAAUCGAACCAGAGUAUCUGUAAUGACACCUCAAGCACUGAGAUGCAGUGCCUUAGACCUUUGCGCCACUCGGAAGCCCCAUGUCAGUGUGAUGGAGACUAAAUAGCCUACUCAGAUCCAAUAAUAGGCUCUGGGGCCUCCUGCAUUGCUUUUAGAGACGAUUAAUUCCUAGUUUGAUCGCCAUCAUGACAUCUAACUAGCAGUAAUGCAGGAAUUCUGUGAAGUAGCUUUGUGCCAUCUGGUGGUGAAGGCAAACUCAUUCCUCUGCCCUCCAGAGUCCAGUCUGUACUUUUCCACACAGAUUCACAAUCACAUACUGAGACUUUGUUAGAUUCUCAAGAUUCUUUUGUAGAAUCUUCUAGAUUUGAGAGGCUAAAAAUGUCCUUGGUGAGCUGAUAUUGACAAUUGGGUGUCUAAAAAGACAGAUUGACCGAUUUAAUUCAAACAUUUCCCCCCCUAUUAUUCCAUCAUCUUGUUGUGCCAAGAUAUGUAAUGGAAAAGCUAAUUAUGAAACACAAACAAACCUGCUGAUGAAUAGAUAGUGGUUUGGUUGCUGAUGUAGGCUACAUUAAUUAUCAUCACUUUUCUUUUACAGCAUAUAGACCGUACAGGUUUGUUAUGGGCUACUGUAGCCAUCUUGAGUUUUUUUCUGAUGUUAUAUUUGGAAUGCCCAUGAUGAGUCAUUUCACAGCUCCUCCGCUUAUUUUUUUUAAGUAAAAGGAAACUGGUUUGCUCUCCCAUAGUUAACAACUAGCUCUUCUACAAAUGUCUAGUUGUUACAAUGUUUAAAAACCGAGUGAGAAUUAUUGGUUGGUAGGCUACAUAAUGUUCGACAUUAAGCAAAUUCAAAUUCAGCAAUGCAGUAUAAGGGAAGUAGACCCGGUAGAAAGAACCAGUGAAUUCCAGUUUAAUCCGGUUUGUAUGGACUGUUCACAUCUUGCACUGUAUUUAUCCGAGCACCAAAUGCGUUGACGUCAGCUGUUGUUAUUCGAAAAGUAUGUCGAAUGACUGACUCCCUCUUACAACAGCAGCCUUUGUAACUCGAGAAAUGAGAACACGUCAUAAUACAUAAUGGCAAUAUUUACAGUACUGUAUUAUGAUUGGCAAGUUUGAUGCUGUUGUUAACAAAUGUACAUAGGUAGGUUGGUUCAUGGUUGAGAUGAAAGCAAUGCAAGUAAGUACAUUUUGAUAGACUCCCACAUUUACCAAAACCCUUUUUUCAUGACCAUACAUUAAAAUAAGUAGGUUUGUACGCUUGUGUUUCACGGUGAAGUAAAACAAAGUGUAAGUAAAAGUUCGCAGCCAUUUCAUAAAUGCGCGACGAAUGUGGCCCUAUUUCGUGAAUCACUAGGUCGGAGGUAUUCUCAUGGUGACGUUAGCCGCAUCACAACUCGUGUAUAACUACCACCCGCAACCCCCUUCCAACUCCAAACUCUUUAUUGAUGCCGUUUUACUGUGCUGCGUUGGUUAACGGUUCGGUUUCGUCAAAAUUUAUUUUUCCUGAAUCUCUUAUUAGGUUACUUUAAUUUUAGAACUGACGAAUGAUAGCUAAGACUAAUAUGUAACAGGUCUCGUGUGACGAAUGUAGUAUGGAAGUAGUUUAAAUUGAUCAGAUAAAGUAGCUAUCUUACGUUACCUGCUAGCUUGUCUUUCGACGCCUACAUGAUUUGUUGCCUCAGCUUUUUUUUUUGCGAUUGUUGCUUUUACUCGAGUACUGAAUUGCUUACGAUUCGUAUGCAAUAAGAUUAACAUUAUAGCUAUAAGAAACGAUCAAGCUGACGUGUCCAUUAUGAAAGCCACAACAAGGUUAUCGUUAGGUGGCAGGGUAUUGUUAUUAUCAUCGUCAGUUACGUAGUUUAACACAAAAGAAUGCUUAUUUCAGCUGAGUUGGCAUCUCUACGCUAAGUAACAGCGAAAAUGUCACAUUUGUUAAUAACUACGGUACCUAGUCAAGAAGGCUUUACCAAACAAAAUGCGCGUGUUGUGGCGCAGUUGUAGGCCUGAUAAAAAAAAUCGCGGCGUGUCACGAUGUAGUGGAGAAAUGGCUGCCCGGGUGAUUCAGUACUGGUGCAGCUAUCUGAAGUUAAAAAAAAAAUGAAGAUCAUGAAAGAAUCAGGUUGUAUAAGUGUCAUUGAAAGAACCAAGUUACAAGACCAGAACCUUAUGAAAGGAGUGAAGCCGUUCGAAUAGCCAGCUAAAUAUUUGAAUAGAAGUUGAGCGUAGGUCCCACACAUCCGAGGCAGUAUAGCUACUUCGAUGCGUAUAGUAUUUUGUUAACCUAAAAUGAAGACUAGUUUACAAGAGGAGAAUUUUGAAUCCUUGGGAAUGGGCAGUAAAAUAUACCACUUACAAGACGAGCAUCAUAUGAAGAAAUGAGAAUGGCUAGCUAAAUAUUUGAAGAUCAAGUUGAACGUAUGUCCCUUAAACUGCCUCGGAUAUAUCUACUUCAAUGCGUUAGAAGUGUUUAUUUUAGUUGGUUGCGCAUCAGGAAAUACAAUUUAUAGUGGGUAAGGAACCAAGGAAAAAUGACUUUGGUUUUAUGUAAACUGAAUAAGUGCUGGUAGUUUGUCUCAUCAGUGUAGGCAACAUGUGAAAUAACCAAGUUACUGAUCUUGAACCAUAUGAGAAGUUGUGAAGCCUCUUGAAUAGCCAACUGCAUAUUGGAAGUUGGGCUGCAGUUGCUUUUGAGUAAUUUUUAUAUAUUUUUGUAGCCUGAAGUGAAGUACAAUAUGUGCUUAAGUUGUGAGACCUUACUUCAAUAGCAAACUAAAUAUUGGAAGAUAAUUUAGGCCAACAGUGGCUGUUUGUCAGUCAUUUAAGCUGCUUCAAGAAGUAAAAAUGUUUUGAGCCUAAAAUGAACAAGAUGUGCUGCGGAUUUCAUUUCCAAGUACAGCAGUUGCUUUGAUAGCACUAGCGGUAGUUCAAGGAGUUGCAGGCUAGUGACGUUGCUUUGUCACGCUUCAGAUCUGAUAAACUUUUUCUAAACACAAUUGGCUCUAGUUGGUGAAGAAAAGAAGAUUUUUCUGUAGAAGAAUGGACUGAGUUUGAGUUUUUUUUUAAAGUGCUGUGGGGGCACUUAGCUAGUAGGCAGUUUGUGAUCAGACGAGGAAGGACGACUUCAGGAUCAGGCAAGGACCAGGCAGAGGGAAUCUGGGCGGACCAGGCAGAGGGAAUCUGGGAGGACCAGCGGGGAGCCAGGCAGGAUCCAGGUGGAUCGCGGGAGGAGCAGAUGGGAACCAGUUGAGCGAGCGGAAUGCAGCAGAGUUUUCAUCAAAGGGAGCGAGCCAGGUGGCAGGGUAGCGAGCAUCCCAGAGUGAGCUGAGAGCGGAGCAGUCCCAGGUCGAGUGUUGCCCUAAAGCAGCCAGUGGGUCCCAGCAGCAAUGAGGUGACGAGUAAAAGGGCCAACUAGCUUCGCAAGUGACAAGUGUUUGUAUGAUGGGUAGCGGUAUACAGUAAUGUUUAACUAGGCCAAAAAUCUUUGAAAUUAGUCAAUGUUAAAUCUGUCAACACAUUUGCUCGCGAAGUUUUCUUCCUCUUUCAGGCAAUGGUAAAGUGUUAAUUUUCCUGGUUGCGGCCCUUUCCUGUGUGAUGUCUGCUGUGAUGAGUCCCCCUUGGCCUACUUGGUAGAGUGCACUGGCGAGAGGACUGUCUUAAAGGAUUUCACCCUCCUGCAGCGCAGAUGUAGUACCCCCCCUGGGCGGAGGCGUUUCUUCUUCAUUGAGUUCAAUAGGUCUACCCCCGAGAAGUGGUCUACAUGGGAGUGUUGAGAGUCGAAAUUCUUCUGUACGUUCGUACCACAACGCAGCUUUGGUGCUGAGCAGCUACAUCUGCUGGUUAAAGUGAGCAGUGAGUUUAAAUGCAUGAGAUGAUCUUGUGGGGAGUAACUAUUCCCCUCAAUAAAUAUUGAUAUCAAAUUUCUAUUUGCCUUUGUAAUGGUAACUGAAAGGGAUUAUCCCUGCAUUUAAUUUGUAGUAUUGGUUAAACUGUGGUGCAUUUGUGGAUGGUGGGGGGGAGACUUUUUCCGAGUUCUUCUUUUCACAGGCUCGCACCUUAAAGCAAACCUGACCAUCCAAGGGAGUCCCUCUUUAGUACUGCCCGCCACAUUAAUCAAAACGGUUGAGCACGUCCCGUAACAGAUAAUUCUAAGGAUGGAUCAAGGGAAACCUCUGGUGUUAAAAUCAUGUAGGAAGGUAUUUUGUGCUGGUUUUCUGUAGUGAGUUGAUCAUUUGCAUAUACUGUUUUUCUUCCAAUAUGUUGUAGGGAUACACACUUGAGUUCUGGGAGGGUUGUGGGGGUGUUAAUCAAAUAUUUUCCUAGAAUUUCUUUUCACACAGCUUCGUGUAAAGCAGCGUUUUAAAGAUCCAAAUGGCUAGCGUUGAGGUUUGAGGAGCAAGGAAUCAACCCGGUGGUCCACAUCUUUCAGGUUUCCUUUUGCCUUGUGGUGUGGAUAUUCCUUGGUGUCUACAAUGGUGUAGCAGGAGGCGGGCCACAUUUUGGGAUGUGAACUUGCGGUGUUCUCCCAGGGAGUGUGGUAACCCUUAACUUUUAGGCUGAUGCAUUUUAUAUCCUGGAGUUGAAAUUUGCAUUUGGUUUCUGGGGUCAGGGGAGAGCUUAACUGUGACUCUUCCAGAUUAUGACCCACCCCUCAAUGAAAGAAACUGGAGAUCUACAUCUCCCUCGUCUUAAGGAGAACAGCUGAUGCCUUGAGGCCAGUGGUAUUUAACUGUUUCUUGUGGAAAGUUAUUGAUUUGGUGUUAGUGAAUUUGUGUUAAUUGUAUUUUAGCAACUGUUAAUACAAUUUUGAUAGUGGGUUGGUUACUGUCUGGGUUUGUAUGGGUGGGAAUGGUGGAAGUCUUGUUUUCCCUUUUGCGUUUUCCAGUGUGCUGUGUCCUACUGCGCUUUCAAUACUGAAGAUCAACAGGAACGCCCCUAACGCAUUGUAUGUAAAGGUUUACUAUUGCUUCAAAACACCACGUUGGGUCUCAAUGUUUUCACAUUUUAUAUUUCAUUAAUGACAUUUUGCAACUUGCCUUAAUUGCUCUCCUUUGCAAAUUAGUUAAAUGUUUUGUAUUGAUGCAACUGAACUCUGUCAAGGAAUGAUAAUUGGUAAUAAAUACAUAGCUUGUUGUGAUUGAAGACAGUUUUGGUAUGCAUUUGUUAUUCUGGGGGACUCUUGUGUGGGGGCUUUUCUUGUGCUUUUUCAGGUAUGACUUAGCUUGGUGCUUUUAGAUCACGGAAGUGACCUGGGCCUGAUGGCAGCUCUUACAAGGUGGAAAGUGAAGGUUUCAGAUAAGUUCAAUCCAGCUUGUAUCAUGUCCAAAAGUGGGAAAAUUCAUGACAUGCCGCCUGGUUGUCUGAAUGGGCCCCAUUGCUGCCUCAGUUGAUUGGUCUUCAAUAGAGACGCAUCUACUUAGCAAUACGACUCUGCCACUACUUGUGGUAUGUAGAAGUUGCACUGCUGUGCUUUCACUGAGUGCAAAUCUCUUCUGGUGGAGACUUUUCAACUCAAAAUGUUAUGCUAAUUAUAAAGCAUAUUUUGUCUACGGGUAACAAAUGUCAGUGCUGUGAGGGUGGGUAUAGGGCUGUUUGUUUUUGAUCUUUCAGAAUUACAAAAGCCCAAAUGAAGACUGCCUUCUACCCGUGACAUGACCACAGGAAUCGCCCCUCCUUUGAACUCCUCUACACAGGCAGGACAGUUUGAACACCUUCAUUACAUUAGACCAUUUCUAGUUUGCUUUUGGCUCUCAGCUACCUGCACUUGUGCAACUGUGCAAGCAGUCUUGUAUCGUAGUAGCCUUUCAUUCCUCUUCAACUGUAUAGCAUAUUUGGUUUUCCUUUGUAGCUGUCGUGCAACUGUGACAGCGUUCCCAAAUUAAGGUAGCUGAGGAACACUGCGCAACUGUGCAGCUGUAAUUUGGACUGCAAUUGUUUUGCUUUUGGAUUGGUAGAUGAGGGUUGGGAGGAGAAUUCUGCACUUUUUCUCUACAGAAAUCUGAGUGCGUCUUGGUGAAGCACGAAUGAAGUCUUCUAACCUGCCGCACGUAGUAAGGUGUUGGUGUACCUUUUCAGUCUUCAUUUCAUAUCAAACUCCAGACCCCUGCCAUGUUUUAGUUUGGUUCAAUGGACAUCUUCAACUGGCUUCCUGUUAACCUCCUAUCGUUAAUAACCAUCAUCAAGCCAUGCUUUUACCAGCAUAUGCCCCUUUCUUUGGCUCAGAGCCCUACUGCUUUGCAUCUUUAAAGUAAGUUGAGUAAAAUGUAUGUUGUGAGUACUGUGGUGGUUUGUGUAGAAACCUUUGUUUCAGAUCAUUAUCUUGUAUCACUGUCCGCUGACUGCGCCUCCAUCUGAAUGUAACGCCGUCGCAGGAAACUCGACAAAUGAAUGUGGCCCCUGAAUGAAGUAUCUACCCUCUGCGCUUGAGCUUAGUCAAACCUCUCCACUCGACGGUCUUCAGUCUCUUCUCUCUCUGUGCUGUCUGUGCUCCUUUCCUUUCCCCCUUUUGGUUUCUCAGGUGACAAUUUCUCAUCCGACGUAAAAUUGUCAUGAAUUGGCAUUCGUUAUCUGCCUCUAACUGCGUGAUGGAACACUGAGAACCCAGUCACUUUCAGAUCAAGAGCCACAAGCUUGUCUUGCUGAAAAUUGAGCAUCACUUCAGUUUCUUGGUUACUAAGUUAAGUCAUUUUGGUUCCCUUUUGCUUUUGAACACACCAUGGCUAUGUUUUAACACAACCUUUUGACUCUGCAUGCAUAUCAGCUCUGCAUAACAUUUUGAAUUUCAAAAUGCGCAACAUAACUUUCAUAUAGUUAAUGUGUAAAAUAGGCACAUACCAGUAGGUGUUGGGAGGGUGGGGGCAACACUUUCUUCCUUCCUUUCAGGUAUCUCUUGAGUGAACUUGUCGUUACUGGGUGCUUGCAGCUGCAGGGAGUCACGGGAAGUGUCUUGGUUUGAUCCAGUUCUAGGAAGUUGAGAGCAUCAGUGUAGAGAAACUGGUUGGUUGUGGUUUGUACUGUUUCUGUCAGUCACAGUAAAUUACAUCUUAAAAUAUUUUCUAUUUCAGGGAUAUGUUUUGGGGGGGGGGUGUAAUUGUUCCUCUUUUGUCUUUACAGCUUCAAAUCUAAGAGCUCAAUCCUUGCAAGUUUGACUGACCUCUGGACCAAUGUCAGUGAUAAGAUCUACACUUACGUUGUGAAUUUGUCUUACUGUUAUCAUGGAUGAAAUGUAGUAAUGUGGAAUUGCUCUAAUGGCAUUAAGUGUCUUCCUGGGGUUUGCUGGGGAUGGGGGGAAACAAGUUGUCUUUUCCUCUAGUUUCAGGCUUGCGACGAUGCUAAAGUCCUCAGGUUCGUGUAGAGCAGCAGGUGCUAAGGGUUUUUCUUUUCCUGGGGGAACAAACCCUCUGGUUUUUGUUCUUCCAGGUUUUGCUUUUUGUCCUUGCGCAAAAAAAGCAAAAGACUCCGGUGGUGGCACUCCUGAUAGUCCUCAGGACGGGGUUCAAUUCCCUGCGGCGUCUUUGCUUUUCUCAACCUGCUGCUUAGUUGGGUAAGCUAGUUAAAACAGGAACCUAGGUAGUUAAAAUAAUUUAUAGGGUCAUAUUGCGAUUUUUAAAUGACGCGAGCAGAGCUCAGCUUCUUAUUAGCUAGCUAACAUUAGCUUUAUUAUAUCUAUAUAGUGUUAGGUGUACUGUUUUGAAAUAACAUUCUUUAUAUUGAUUUGAUUGUAUACAUAGUCUUAGCAAGCUCUUUGGCAGCAAGCUAAGCAUUUUUAGCUAUAAUAUUUAGCUAGCUUGCUUUGCAAAUGUUAGCCUAGUUAGCUAGCUAGCAUCAAGUGUUGGUGAUAGAAAAAUGGCCGUAGAAGCAACUCGAGCUUAGUUUAGAAGACUUGACUUUUCAAUUCAUUUUGAGGCACCUGUAGAACAAGGAGCUAGUUAGCAAAGAUUUUUUCUGUGCCCUUGGUGUACAACAAACUCCCUCACGACGCCAGGACAGCGGAGUCAAUCAUCACCUUCCAGAGACACCUGAAACCCCACCUCUUUAAGGAAUACCUGGGAUAGGUAUAUAGAUGUACUAUUGUAAAGUGGUUGUUCCACUGGAUAUCAUAAGGUGAAUGCACCAAUUUGUAAGUCGCUCUGGAUAAGAGCGUCUGCUAAAUGACGUAAAUGUACAUCAUUGAAGUGUAUCGUCUUAAAUUGACAGUUGCCAUAGUUAUUGAGGCUUUUUAGUAUGCGCCCCUUGUGGGAACACAACCAAAUAUUAACUGUUCCAAAAAUGUUUCUACUUAGGCUUGCUUGCCAACCCAUAAAUGUUAGUUAGAAGAAACUGGUUUCUAAUGGAAUUUAUUUUGUUUAGUCUAUUGGUUGAGACAUGACUUGUAGUUCAGGAGAUGAGUUUAAUUUACUUUAAGUUAUGAAUAAAAUCUAUGAACUGUACAAAAUUGUGUGCUGACUGUCAUACCUCAUUACAAUGUUUUAAAUGACUUAAUUCCAAGGAUUUAUUUAGGUUAUACGUUACAAUUUUACUUGACAUGUUUUAAUGUGCUUUUCAUAUUUGACAAAGCCAAUUUUAGUGACCUGAAGUAUAUUUUCAUUACUGAGUAGAGUAAGCCUACAUAACCAAGGAAUGGGGGUGUAUUUAAUUAUUUCACCUUUAUUUAACCAGGUAGGCCAGUUGAGAACAAGUUCUCAUUUACAACUGCGACUUGGCCAAGAUGAAGCAAAGCAGUGCGACAGUUACAAAUGUACAGUCACAAUAUAUAUAUAUAUAUAUAUACACAGUGUGCAAAUGUAGGGAGGUGAGGCAAAAUAAUUACAAUUAUGCAUUAACACUGGUGUGAUAGAUGUGCAAGUAGUGCUACUGGGGUGCAAGAGGAUAAGUAACAAUAUGGGGCGAGGUAGUUGGGUGUGCUAUUUACAGAUUGGCUGUGUGCAG
rnacentral:lncRNA from 1 species